UAGAUUUUGCCCUACUUUCGCUUUCACUUUCGCUGCCCUACUUUCGCUUUCUCGUUCACACGAUACUCUUGCUCCUCCCAUCGCAUCUCCGAUCUGCAAGCCGGCCACUGCCUCCGCCAACGACGUCACCUCCGACAUCACCUCCGCCGUCACCCCCGGCAGCAAAGCCCUCCAGCUACUCCAAAGUCGUCGACGCAUCAUACCUUCUCCCUCCCACUGCCGGUCCAACCUGCAACCCACCUCUGUGAACGACGACCAGCAUCUUUGUCAGAAGGUUCUACCCCUUCAAAUUUACCCUUCUUUAAGUGAGUUUCUUCACAUACUUCAAUCACAUCUUCAUCGUCUGUAAUUUAAUUCGUGUUCUAUUUUUUCGUUUGCUCCACUUUCAUCCUGCUCACUUACCUAUAUGAACACAAGUAUUUUGAGUACAUUUAACAAUAAAUUUCAAGUUCUAGUUAGAUUGAUCUACAAUUAAAACUGUAAAACCUUUUAGGAAUAGUUAGGGUUUACUUAGAAUGAACAUGAAUUACCUCUUGAGCAUCACUUGAUUGGUCCUCUGCUUCUUCCUUAAGGAUCUCCUUAGGCGUUGAGUUUAGAGCCUGUUCCUCCUCUAAAUAGGCCACUGUAGUAACAUGCUCACCAGUUGAUUCUUUUAUAUCCUCAAAUGUUGCAUCUUGUGAACUUGUAACAUCAUCCCCUAAACCUUUUCCUGACACAUAAACCUCUUGGUCCUUUUCUUCAUCUUCAACUUUGCUUGCUAUUUCGUUCUCAUUCAGACCGAUAUUAACACUGUCAGAAAGUUUUAACCCUUCUUCAGAUUCAACCUUCUCUGAGACAGUCUCUUCACAUACUUCCUUCACCAUGAAUGAAUGACAUUGGGCCUUUUUCUGUUAUUUACUUGAUUAAAUUACAAUUACAUGCACAUUCAAUCAACAAUCAACAUAUGUGUGUGCCCAGCACUUUUGGUGCAAAUAGAUCACCCAUGCAAGCCAUGAUUUGUCUCCAUUCUCAGCUCAUUUAUCACCACAAAGAUACAUAAGUGAGACAAAUCACAUUUUUAACAAAAGUAGCAGGAAAUGCUUCCCACAGUACCUUUUUGUACCUGUUUUCAUCUCAUUACCUGUGUCAAUUCCUUGUUCCCUGUAUUCCAGAUUUUGUUUUAUCAUUGUCUACUAAACUUCUCUAUGAAUAGAGGCUAAUGGUUUGUAAUAGUCAGUGUGCCAAAGAUAUAUGAAAAUUAAUAGUAGAAAAAACCUUAUUUUCUGGAUAUCUUCAUCUUCCUUUAGAGAUCUUGAUCUUGGUGGAUUCUUCCCUUCCUUCAGAACUUAGAGUUUGUAUUGUUUAACUGCAAGAAGCAUGACGUGGUUUCAGCAUCCAAUUUCUUGGAAUCUAAUGUAUCAGUUUGUUUGGCUUUGUCUCCUGCUUUGGCUUUUUUAUAACUUUUCUAAUAAUUUUCUUUUUUUCACUACUGGUUUUCUUUUCUACAGAGUUAUUGCCUUCGCCAGGUGUCUCAACCGCAUUUUUAUUCUCUAUAUCUAGUGCAGAAUCAAUUAGAUCUGAACUCCCUCAUUUUCAGGUUGUAUGACUUUAUCUUUUGCUAUUUUUUUCAGUUUUAAUGUUGACUUAUCAAAUUCAGACGCUUUCUUUGCAUCCUUUUUCAGAUCUUUGGGUGUCCCUUAUCUGUGCAGAAUCAAUAGGGUCAUAAAAGGUAAAUUUGAAAUACUUUAAUAAAAAGAGAUAAGUAACUUUCAGGCAUGAUAAUAUCACUUUCCAGGGCUUGUUAAACUUCUUGGCGACUGAAAAUGGGUUCAACAGUGACAGGGUCACAAAGGCAAGGAAAUCAAAUGAUUUAUUUGUUUAUUUAUUUUUAAAAAUCUUUUUCUAGGUCUUUGUAUAUGUAAAUAUAUAACUAAUCAUGUAUUUUGGUAAUAGGCUGCAGAGAAAAUAAAGGCUUUCAAGAACAAGUCGUCACAAAAUCGGUAAGAAAAUCAACCAAAUUUUUUUUUUUCAAUCAUUGUUGCCCAAUCUCUUAGAUUCCGUGCAUUAGUUAUAGUUCUAGAGGGUUUAUAGCUGUUAAGAACUUAAUUGAGUAUGACCAAGAACUUUUUUGUAGUUCCCUGCACAAAUGCUAUACAAAACUGCAGACUUUGUGUUAAGUAACAUAUGUGGUUGCUAUAUUAUGAACUUCCUGAUUUCGAACAACUUCAAAUAGAUAUAUAUACCUGACAUUGCUAUAUUAUGAACUUAAUUGAUUAACAACUGUCAAUUUUUUUUCCUCUUACCACAUACCUGACAUUGGUAUGUAAUUUUAAAGUUUUUCUUGCUUGUAUGCCUGACCUGUUAUAUAAAAUUGUUGUGACUUGUAGUUUUCAUGAUAUGCAGUUUGAAACAAGUGUUUUCUAUUAUCUUGAAGCUGGUGCAAAUAUAAUAAUCACAUCUUAGCAGGUAAGUCUUUUUGUUAUAUUCUAAAAUAUCAUAUCCAUUCAAUUAUAACUAUAACUAUGUUCCAUGUAGGAUUUCAAAAUAUGAUGUUGUAAUUUCUAAACAAAAGUUGGAUGCCAUCACAGUGACAACCAAAAUCAAAUAUUAAAGAAGGAAAAAAAAAAAAGGCAUUUCUUACAAAAUCUUACCCCUUUCCAGCCAAACAUUUAAAUAAAGAAAAAAAAAACUAAAAUAAAAAUAAAUUACACCAAAAAGAAAAUCACUAACAAUAUCAAAUGAAAACAAAAACCAAAACGUUAUACUGUAUAAUAACAAUAAUUUCUUCAACAGAACAUAACAAUAUUAGACUUAGUCUAAGUGGGACAAAAACUAACUGCAAUUAGUUGUCCCAACAAUAUGCUUUACAAUAAUCAACUUUUUUUUGAAAAAUUAUGAAAAUAUAGAUGUGAUAGGAACAUAUGGCUCUACUAGUAUAUACUACUGGGAAAAUAAGAAAAAACGUCAUUUCAUUGAUCAACUUCAACAGUACUCAGGUUAUUUAAAGUUGAUUUUGAUUUUUAAUUUUUGAUUUUUUCGCUUAACUAUCAAAAAUGAAUCAUCAUAUAAAGACGUGUUGUGCAAUAGAGGAAACAUAAACCAAUAAUUAGGAAGAAAACAACAAAGAAAAUUUGCUCAAAAUGUCUCAAAUGAAGUGUUUGUUUACAUGGUUGACCCACUACACGGCUGUCAUAUCAAACCAAGGGCAAUUUCGUCAUUUCCUAUUUAUAUAUACAUUCAAAUUUUACUUGAUCGAAAAAAGGAAAUACCUUAUCAUAAAGGACAAUUCCUUAGCUUUUUCACUCAAAAAGACCUAAUUUACACUUCUGGUCCCUGUGAAAUAUCAUUUUAUUCAUUUCUAUUUCAUUGUUUCUUAAUGUUUUUCAACUUUACUUAUUCGCACAUUAACCACUAAACUUUUAAGUUCUCCAUUUGAUUCCCUUUAGCUUCUAUUUCACAUUCAUUUUGACAAUAUAUAAACAUCUCUCUAGCUAACAACUCUCAAUGAUAGGUGUGGAAUCCACGAGAAAGAAUUCUCUAUUGGUUGUUGAUAAUAUUUGACAAUAUGGAUUGAAAUUUUUGGUAUUUGACAAUAUGAAGUUAUAGAUUUAAUGUAUGUCAAAUAAUUGAAAUGUAUGGAUUUACUUUUAUAUUUGGUUGUUUUAAAAUACAGAUUUAAUGUAUGUUUAAAAAAUUUGUGUUCAAUAUGUAAAUUACUUUUAGUUUUUAAUUUCUUCAUUAAUUUGUAAAUUUUUUUAUAAUGUCAAAAUCCGUUGCUAAUCUGUUAGAAAAAAAAUUUGUAGUCAUUUUGGGAUUCUGUCGGUAACCUGUUAGUAAAUUAUUUCAGAUUUUGUUAGUAAUCCGUUAGUAAAUUUUUCCGUCGGUAAUCCAUUGCAAACAAAUUCCGUCGGUAAUCCGUUGCAAAUAUAUUCUGUUGGUGAUCCGUUACUAUUUCUGACGGAAAAAUCCGUCACUAAAAAUUAGCCAAAGCCGUCGGAAAUCCGUUACAACUAAUUAGCGACAAGAAUAUAGCGACGGAUUUUCGUGUGUUACAAUUCCGUCGGUAAAGAGCUUUAGCGACGGAUUACCGAUGGUUUUGGCCGUCGGUAAUGCUCUUUUUUGUAGUAGUGUUUGUUCUUUUCAUUUUUUAAUAAAGGGUAAAUUACACCAUUCGUCCCUCGUGCAGUGCCAAAAAGCACGUUUAGUCCCUAUUUUUAAAAAUUAACUCGGACAGUCCCUUGUUUGUUUUAAACUUACACACUCCAUCCCUAUUGACAUAAAUGACUAUUUUGCCCUUAAUAAAUUCUUUUUUCAUUUUUUAUUUCUUUAUCAAUUUAAAUUAAGAAUAAUAAUAAUAAAACAAAUAUCCCCACCCCUCCCCUUCCAUUUCCCCAGGUUCCGCAACAAGAUUCGAAAGCACCACCACAUGUCACCGCUAGCUCCUCCGACACCACCACCUAUCAACAUCACUGCAGUCUGCAAACACCUUCCCCUUCCUUUCCCUAGUUUUCUUCUACCUUCGUCUCCUUCUUCUCACCCAUUCCUGACAACCAUAAUAAACCCCAAAUUGGACCCCAAACCACCAUCCCCUAUCUUCGUUCUCCCCAUUUGCCU
rnacentral:lncRNA from 1 species